CAGGGCCAAGUCCUCGGGGCCACCGCAGGGCGGAGGCGCGUACUUGCGGCGCAGGGAGCGGCUGACGUUCUGCGUCGGGUACCCCAGGAGCUCCAGGCCAAGAGAACGACAGCUCGUUCCUGAGAUAAGGAUCCUGCUGCCAUCUGCCAGAUCCUGAGGCUGCUCAAGGCAAGCCAGGGAUGAGCCAGAACUCGGCUGAGAGCAGAGGCUCCACCCUGGAGAAGCACCGCUGGAAGCACCCACACAGGAAGGACUCUCUCCAUGCCAUAGGAGCCUGCCAGGCAGAAGGCACUAACGAAGUAUUACAGGGAAUGUGAGAGGAGAGGCUGGAGAGAGGGAAGAAAGGCAAAGUGGAAGAGAGAGCUGGAUGGGAGACUUGAAGAGAGACAGGAAUGGAGGAAUCACAUGGGCUCUCCAAGGAAGAACACAGUGGUGAUUCUUUGCCCCCCAAAAGCACCAGAAGCUGGCCACGCUUUACGGGGUCUCAUCUCAAUAGUGGUGCCUACUCUCUGCUUGUAAAUUCUUUCUGAAUCUUCAAGGUGCUUCCAGAACUUCUGGCCCUCCCUCUGGAGGUUUAUGGGAUUGUCCUCCUCCCCAUUUUACAGAUGGGGAAACAGAGGCCUGGAGAAACAUGGGGAUUCAGCCAAUGCAGCUGGUGCCUAAGCUGGGAUACCCAGUCAGCAAGCUCCUCAGCUCUCUCUCCCAAGUCCCCAUGUAGCCCAGGGCUCACCCUGCAGCACCCAGGGAGGAGUUGUCCUGCAGAGGAAACCUCUGAGAUAAGACUCUGGGAGCAGAAGCUGUGACAAUGGAUAGGCAAAGAGUCACAGAGAAGCCAAGGAGCCUUGCAGCUGCUGUCUGUCCACCCAGCUUUCAGUGACGAUUUGGAGGUGGAGGUCUGCCAGGUGAGGCCAUGGUUGCAUGAGAAGGGCAGGGGGCUCAGAGGUUGCAUGGGUGGUGAUGGGACAACAUUGGGUUCUCGUUAUAGAGAGGCAUGAGAUCGACAUGUGGGGUUAAGUUUGAGGGUGUGGGUUGGGUUCAAGACUAAGGCUCAAAUCAAAGCUGGCAGGGAAGAGCCGUGAACACAGGUGACAUAGGGACUCCCCAAGCCCCUGCUCAGGUUUCCCAAACCUCAGUGGUUCUGACUGGUACACUUCAGAAGAAGCGGGAUUCUAGGAGGAGCCUGGAUAUGCCCACAUCUCUCCCAUUAAGCAAUGUCCUGAAGCUGACAGACUCAGAAGAGCAAGCAGCACACACAUAGUCCCCAUCAAUUAAAGGAGUGGCUGGAGUUGUCACUACAUCAACAAAGCACAAGAGCAAAGGGAGACAAUUGAAUGCCACCAACUGAACUGUUAGCAAGAGAAUGAGUGGAGGCAAGAAGAAAUCGCUUGUAAAGGGUAUGUGAUUUCCUGAUGACAGAUCUGAGGAAGAAUGAAGAGACUUUGAAGAUAAAGGUAUCUUCACCUCUCCAAGAUCAACCACAUCCUGCAGAACCUUCAUUCAUUCAGCAAACAGCCGGGCUUUAUGCUAGGCCCUGGGGAAAUGGCAAUUAAGGAGACUCAGUCUCUAUCCUUACAGAGCACCCCAUCUGAUAGGGAAAUAGCUCCUGGCCCGCAAUGUGAUAAGCUGCAGUAAUACGCGCAAGGCCCCUGAGCUAGUGGCAAUGAUGUUUAAGCCGAGAUCUGAAGGAUAACUAACAACGGCGUGCCAGAGAAAAGAGUAGCGGGUGGAGAGAGGGGGCCAGGGGAAUAUUUCUGGGCUUGGCAAGUAAGCCAGGUCCCUGCCAGACAUGGACUGAGAAGAGCAAAGCCAGGAGUGACAGCCAAUGAUUAUUUUUUAACUGAGGAAGGAAGAUCCUUGAGAACGGAACCUCUUGGGACCUUCUACCCAGAACACCAGAGCACCUCAGUGGGAUCAGAGCCAGGCCAUUGGGUGGAUUAAGCAACUAAAAUUGAUCGUCCUGAACCAUGAGUCUGUCUGUUUAUGGGGAGAGAAACUUUGUGAUGAAUUAAUCCACAGGUCCAAUGGGACUUUGACCUUUUAAUUUGUAGAAAUAAAACUUGCCUUUGA